rnacentral:lncRNA from 1 species
UGUUUCAGUUGCUCACAGGCAAUUCUAUUAGAAAUAAAAUAUUGUUAGAGGGGGUUCUCAAAACUGCUUUAUCUUCAUUAUAUUGAAAAUUCUAUUCCAAACGAAUCUUUGGGGAAAUCUUUUUUACUCACAUACUUUUCUUUCAUAGUUUGGUUUCAAACACAGAGAGUUAUUCCUGCCAAAGCCUCAUUUUUCUCCUUCUUUUUUGGCUAAAAGCAAUCUUCUGGAGCCUGUUCAUUCCCCUACCCCUCCACAGAUCUCACCAUGAUGACUCUCCUAAGGACACAUUAGAGGGCUUUGCCCUAAUCCAUAUUUUACUAAACAGCCCCAGGAGUGAGAAGAACCUUCACUAGGAUUUGAUUAAACAAAUUCUUAAAGCCAAUAAAACGUUUUCAAGUUGUAAGAGAAAGCAGCAUUAGUGCAUGUUCCCAAGCAGGGCAGACAUUUCACUGUUGUCAUCCUUAAGGAAGACAGUUUGGGAUGCAGUACAUUCUCCCUGAGACUCAUUCCAGAGGCUUCAGCCUCCAGCAACAGUUGCCUGUGAGGGUAGCUUUAUUGCAUAGCACAAUGCAGUUGUGACUGAAGCUGUUUCCAAACACUUUAGGGCAAUUUCAUGUGUAACUUUUCCUCUGCCACUUUACAGGGUUCCUGAAAGGGUAGAAGAAAAUACAGUAGGGCAGGGCUCAAGACCUUACAGUGGAAGAGUUAUGCUCUCCAUAAACAAUAUGACCUUCCAGGAGAGAAGAAAGAAUAGCGGAAGCCAUGUACUUGCUUGAGAAUAUAACAAAGAGACAUACUGGUUUGCAGGAAUUUUGAGUC